rnacentral:rRNA from 1 species
GACCUCAAAUCAAGUAAGAUUACCCGCUGAAUUUAAGCAUAUUAAUAAGCGGAGGAAAAGAAACUAACAAGGAUUCCCCUAGUAACGGCGAG